rnacentral:rRNA from 1 species
UACGUAGGGUGCGAGCGUUAAUCGGAAUUACUGGGCGUAAAGCGAGCGCAGACGGUUACUUAAGCAGGAUGUGAAAUCCCCGGGCUCAACCUGGGAACUGCGUUCUGAACUGGGUGACUAGAGUGUGUCAGAGGGAGGUAGAAUUCCACGUGUAGCAGUGAAAUGCGUAGAGAUGUGGAGGAAUACCGAUGGCGAAGGCAGCCUCCUGGGAUAACACUGACGUUCAUGCUCGAA